GAGUGAAUAAUAUCAAACUUAGAUGUGGCUCUAUUAUUGAUUCGUUUGGGAAAGAAAGCUCGAGUUUGUUUCCCAAGUUGACAUGACUUACAAUCUAAAGAAGACAAAGAAGAAAGACUAGGUACUAGUAAAGACUAGGUACUAAUUUUUGAGGUUUGGCAAUACUUGGAUAACCCAGGUGGCUAUGGAGAAGAUCCACAGAUGCAGCGGAAGUGAGAGCAACUGGUAAUUUUGAAAUGGAUAGACGAUACAGUCCUUGUGAAUCAUAUCCUGUUCCAAUCGUUUUCCUCGUACUUCGGUCCAGAGUGUGAGGUACCAGAUGAGGAUGACUGUUGUUUAGUAGCUUGAUACUGCAAGUACUCAUUGUAGUUAGUUCCAGUUAGGACAAUGGAAUCAGACUGUUGAUCGUUUGCUUUAGGUAAGGGAAGAAGUCCAUCCCCAUGAGUUUGUGCUACAUUAGCUGCAUGACGAUUUGUGUUGAAUUGAUUAUUAUUGCGUGGUGGUCGGCCAUGCAAUGCCCAACAAGUAUCUCGAGUGUGGCCAUUUUUGUCACAGUAAGUACAAUGAGAUUUAAAGCCCUUUCCUUUUCCUUUUCGAGAACCUCCCUGUCUGUGCUGAUUUCCAAUCUGCACAGCUAGCACAGAUGUUUCAAUUUCAUUACUACCAUUCGCAUUUAAGGAAAUGCGUAGCAAUCGAGCAGAGACAUCUUCCAGAGAAGGAAUCACAGAACUCAUCAAUAUUUGAUUCUGUACAGAACUAAGAUCAGAUCGAAGUCCUAUCAAAG
rnacentral:misc_RNA from 1 species